GGCCAGACUCCUACGGGAGGCAGCAGUGGGGAAUAUUGCACAAUGGGGGAAACCCUGAUGCAGCGACGCCGCGUGAGUGAAGAAGUAUUUCGGUAUGUAAAGCUCUCUCAGCAGGAAAGAAAAUGACGGUACCUGACUAAGAAGCCCCGGCUAACUACGUGCCAGCAGCCGCGGUAAUACGUAGGGGGCAAGCGUUAUCCGGAUUUACUUGGUGUAAAGGGAGCGUAGACGGUGAAGCAAGUCUGAAGUGAAAGGCGGGGGCUCAACCCCCGGACUGCUUUGGAAACUGUUUGACUGGAGUGCAGGAGAGGUAAGUGGAAUUCCUAGUGUAGCGGUGAAAUGCGUAGAUAUUAGGAGGAACACCAGUGGCGAAGGCGGCUUACUGGACUGUAACUGACGUUGAGGCUCGAAAGCGUGGGGAGCAAACAGGAUUAGAUACCCCAGUA
rnacentral:rRNA from 1 species